GUCACUCCAGUCUUCAAAAAGGGCAAGAAGGAGGACCCAGGUAACUAUAGACCAGUCAGUCUCACCUCCAUUCCUGGAAAGCUGAUGGAACAACUUAUCCUUGGUGCCAUCUCAAGGCAUAUCAAGGAUAAGAGGGUCAUUAGGGGCAGUCAACAUGGCUUCACCAAGGGGAAGUCGUGCUUCACCAACCUCAUAGCCUUUUAUGAGGACAUAGCCAGGUGGAUGGAUGAUGGUAAAGCAGUGGAUGUGGAUUUCAGUAGAUUUCAGUAAGGCAUUUGACACUGUCUCCCACAGCAUCCUCAUAGAUAAACUGACAAAGUGUGGUCUGGACGAUCGGGUAGUGAGGUGGUCUAUGAACUGGCUGAAGGAAAGAAGCCCGAAAAUUGUGGUCAGUGGGUCAGAAGCUAGUUGGUGGCCUGUAUCUAGUGGAGUCCCUCAAGGGUCGUUACUGGGACCAGUACUGUUCAAUAUAUUCAUCAAUGACUUGGAUGAGGGAAUAGAGUGUACUAUCAGCAAGUUUGCUGAUGACACCAAACUGGGAAGAGUGGCUGACAUGCCAGAAGGCUGUGCUGCCAUCCAGUGGUACCUAGACAGGCUGUAGAGUUGGACAGGGGGGAAAUUUAAUGAAAUACAACAAGGGCAAGUGUAGAGUCUUGCAUCUGGGCAAGAUCAGCUCUAGGUUACCAGUAUAGUUUAGGGAAUGACUUGUUGGAGGGCAGUGUAAGGGAAAGGGACCUGGGGGUCCUGGUGGACAGCAGGAUGACCAUGAGCCAGCACUGUGCCCUUGUAGCCAAGAAGGCCAAUGGCAACCUGGGGUGUAUUAGAAGAGGUGUGGUUAGUAGGUCAAGAGAGGUUCUGCUCCCCCUCUACUCUGCCCUGGUGAGACCACAUCUGGAACAUUAUGUCCAGUUCUGGGACCCUCAGUUCAAGAAGGACAGGGAACUGCUGGAGAGAGUCCAGCGCAGAGCAACAAAGAUGACUAAGGUUGUGGAGCAUCUCCCUUAUAAGGAAGGGUUGAGGGAGCUGGGUCUGUUUAGCUUGAAGAAGAGGAGACUGAGGGGUGACCUCAUUGACGUUUAUAAAUAUGUAAAGGGUGAGUGUCACGAGAAUGGAGCCAGUCUCUUCUUGUUGACAACCAAUGAUAAGACAAGGGGAAAUAGAUACAAACUGGAACACAGGAGGUUUCACUUAAAUAUGAGAAGAAAUGUCUUCACAGUGAGGGUGACAGUACCCUGGAAUAGUCUGUCUGGGGAGGUUGUGGAGUCUCCUUCUCUGGAGAUAUUAAAAAUCCACCUGGAUGUGUUCCUGUGUAACCUGAUCUAGGUCUUUCUGCUCCAGCAGUGGGAUUUGACUAGAUGAUCUCUCCAGCUUCCUUCUAAUCCCUAACAUUCUCUGAUUCUGUGAUUCUGUGAAUAGAAAUUAUACCUUGAAAGAGGCUCUUUCUCAAUUAGGCUGAGAGCUCAGCAAUGCACAUCUCCUCCACUUGCUGCAUGCCCCCAAAAAAACCAAAUGAUGAGUUAACAAGAAUUCUCUGUCCCAGAACAUAAAUCAGAUGGUCUACUGAAAAAAAACCCUCCCAGAUUUGCUGGCAACCUUCUCAGACUUUUCAGCCAGAACCAGCUACUUUCUCCUCUCAUUUUAGCUGGUAACACCUCACAGGUCUCUCCUGUUGGCCCUGAGCUCUAGAAGUUUUAAAAAUGGAAUCAUCCUGUCCCCAGAAGCUUGAAUCCUCAGUUCUCUGCUCUUUGAGCCUCUCCACAGACAGUCCUAGGUGCUUUUUGUUUCUUGUAUAUUACGAACUCCCAAGGCUUACUCUCACCAGCACUGUCCUUCUCCCUCUGCAGCCUCUGUCCAGCUUCACACAACCCAACAGCCACACCAGCAUUUUACAGACUAGAUUUUUUCCCUGUGAGCUAUUGUCCCCAUCCUUUCAUCCUGGGGAGGUGAGCUAAUUGCAGUGCAGCUACACAGCAGCACCCCUUCACCAACAGAUAUAUUUUGCAGAAGAUAAAUAAUAUGUCUCAUUAUAAUAGGGCCAAAGGUCUCCACAAAAACAAUUUUUUUUCACUUCUCAUAAAUAUCCCUCCUUUUUCACCUUGCAUUUCCCUACUUCCCAGAUUCCAUGUUUCCAGGCUGCUUGGUAUUUACCAGGCUGAUACUGUCUGGGACUCUGUCAUUUACCACUCCAGCCAUGGACUCAGAGUGAUGUAUUCCAAACAAAAUCCAGCCUUCCUCUUUAGAUUAGCUUUUCACUUCAGCUGUUCCUGCUUUCUUCCCUCCCAAACUACUCCUACUUUGUUGGCAUACUCGAAGUCAUAAAAGUGCACUUUGAAGGAGCAGUAAGUAUUACGUAAUUCUAAGGCUCGUUUUUUCAUAUUGUUAUCAAAACCUGACAGAUGACUGUCAGUGAGACCGUCAGUAACUGUUAGUAACGUGGCACAGAGCUGUUCUUUCUAUUAAUUCACUGAUUUGAUAACUGUGCUUCAAAUCAUAACAGAAAUGUCACUAUGACUACACAAUAUCAAAAGUAAAUAAACCACAGCACAACCUGAAUGUAUUUGUGGUUCUCUAAAGAGUCACCUCUCAGCAAGUGGUUUACUUGGACAGCUUUUCAAGGCACCAGAAACAUUAUCUCUUGAUGUUCAUAUUCAGAUUUGUGACAGCAUCUAUGAAUAGCUUAGUCGGGUUCAGUUUGGCUCAGUAAAGUCUCUACAUGCAUGUGUUGUUCAUAAAAUAUGAAGCAAAAUCCAGUCUUGCAAUUCAACAGACUUCAGACUGUGAUAGCAUUUCCAUUUUCAAGAUGUCUUUGGAAGAAAACUCCAACACUCUACUUAGGGAGGAUGGAGGGAGAACUUGGCCUGCAAAGAUUUCAAGUGAAAAUUAAGAUGCUACUGAAAUGACAUCAUACUUGGAAAAGUAGAGAUGGGUGGUUCAUAGCCCUGGUUUCGGCUGGCUCCAAUUGUUUAGCAGGGGCUUUUGGUAGAGAAGUUCCUAGACAAUGAAGUUUAUUUUUAUUUAUUUUUUAUACUUAGGCUAUGAAUUAUUUUAAAGCUUUUGUAGGAAUCUAAAAUAUUAUUUUGCAUUUUUCAAAAUACGUAGAUAUGAAAUACAAAGGAAUUAGUUGCAACUGCAUUAAAAUCAAGCAAUUCUGCCUUCAUUGUAUGUGCAUAGAUACUUAUUGCAAAAUGUCUCUUCACCUGUUUUAGAUCAUUCAAGAUUUGUUUAAGAAAGAUGGAUCAUCUGGAACCUAAGCUCCAUCACAUGUGGAGUUUUCAGUGUGGAUAACCAGACAAUUGCAUGUACUUAUGAAGAAUAUUCUGCCAGCUCCUGACCUGAAAAAUUUCCGGCAUUUUCUAUAUCUUUUCUGCCUGUUAUCCCCCACAGCAGAACAAAUGGACAUGUUAAAUCAUGCUUGUAGAAAAAGGGACAAAUAAUUUCUUUUCAUAGAAGAAAAUGAGGCAAGAAGAAAGUGACACAUGUGAAUGAACAGCACAGCUUAUAUAUGAAUAAAGCACUGGGAAUAACAGAAGCUUAAUGCAUUUUCAGGGCAGUUACUGUUUUUUGAUGGAAAUCAGCAGCUGACAUUGGAUGUGAACAGAGAAGUAAUGGAUUUCCUGCCCACUCACCCCUGCCCACCCAGUGACAGCAGCAGCAUUCUCUCCACAUCAUGUGCAAGGAUACAAACCAAAUGAGGCCCUUCCAGGGUGAAAGAUUUCUAUCACAUAUGGUUUAGCUGAUAGGCUGUAAUGUGCUUUUAAAUCCAUGUACAGGAAGGUGGGUAUCAGGAAAAGCUGAACUGGGAAAACACCAUCAAGAGCACAGGUACUCUAAAUGGUGGUUAGAUGCCGCUCCUGAGGUCCUGUGUUGUGUCAUACCACCCACAAGAAGCUAUAAGAGUCUGUAAAGUCAACAUAAGGAAGAAAUGGUAAGAAAGGAGAGUGAAUGUAAAACAUCUUCACAGGGCAUAUCUUCCCAUGCUGGAUGAUACUGGGGAUGCUCCACUUCUUUGCUGCACAGAUGGCUAACAUGAUUUUAUCAGUCAUCGCAUUACUUUUUUCAAAAGCUAAUCUGCAUCCCAAACUGCCUGUUAUCUGGAGCUAAGACAUUUCUACCCGCAGUAUUCUGGCAUGUGAUGCUACCUGAAAGCAAAACUGCUGUGAAUCAGACAAAACUCAAACUCUCAACUUGUACAUCCAGGAAUUCAGGUAUCUUGUACCUUUGUCCGCUGCACAUCACUGCUCCCUUUAUGCUUGCUCUGUGUGGCAGAGAGGAACCUCGGUCAGUCUAAGUACAGACAACAACCUGCCAAUGACAGCAUGGGUUUCUCUACUUGCUAAUUCACUCAUCUCCUCCAUUCAGGCCAAUCUAGAACUGAUAUUACUAGAACUACUUGUGAGAAAUUUGGCUUUUCGUGCAAUGUUAUGGGUACUGUCAGCUAGAGGACCAGUAUCAGGUGCCAGGCCUCUCUGCUGCUCAGAGCAGCAGGAUGUUCACUUCUUCCAAGUGAGGUGCUAUGGAGAGAUGGCAAGAGUGCAGCAUUCAGUUCUGAUCACUCUGAUCAUUAGCAGCACAGCUAGUAUGUGAUUUACCUCAUCUAUUCUUACCGUGUAACAGCACAACUUCCACAAGAAUAUGGUAAAGGUAUGACUGGAGAACAUUCAUGGAAAUGCAGGUUGCCUUUUUUAUGUUAUUCACCCAGGACUGUGAGGUAGCCUACCAUCUUCAAUUUUACAUAUCCUAUUUUCUCAGAAGAUGGCAAAGACUGAGACAUAUGACACAUCCCAGACUAAGGAUUCUGAAACUGAGAUACUCACAUGGAGUUUUACUGUUAAUCUGGAGAUAUUACAUAAGUCUCUAUGGCUUAGUCAAAACCUUGUAUUUUCUACCAAUUGUGUCAAUCUCUGUGAAGUAAAAGCUUGCCUAUCAGAAAUCACAGGAGAAGAGGAAAACUGAGAAAUAAAAGCCGUUUCUCAGUUCUCAAUGGUUAUUAGAUGAAAGCAGUUAACAGCCAUUGCUGAUUUGAAUUAGAGUGACUUUCUGAAAGAUCUAGCAAUAAAAGCCUACGUUGUGUCAUUAUAAAUUUUGUAAGUCAUGCGUGUAUAAGAGGAGCAAUAGAUUUGUUUCCUAUGACUUAAAAAGUCUUAGAUAAUUAGCAGAGUUGGGAGAAAAAUAUUAUCUACUGAUUUUUAUAUAUAUACAUGUAGAUGUGUGUCGAGGGUUAAGAUUGCGGGGUGACAAUAAAACCCUGGCAGAUGUAUUGUUAACCCCCUCUCCCCCCCCGCUUCCCCUCCCUCUCCCCCCUUCCCACUCAGGACAGGCGAUCGGGAGGGAAAGAAGGACAGAGAGAAGAGAGUUGGAAAAAUUAACAAUGUUUUACUAAUGCUACUAAUAAGAAUAGAGAAAAUAAUACAAAAUAUACAAAACCAAUCUUGAAAGUCUCAGCAACUGCAGAGCCGGCAACCAAAGUCCUGGAUUGGACUCUGCAGCCAACUAGAGCUGGAUUCAGUCUCUCACUAGGCCUCAGUUCGCAGGGACGACUAGCAAGGUCCUCUCCUAAUGUCAGCCAUAAGCAGAAGGGAAAAAGCAAAGGCAAAAGGGAAAAGAGAUGAGACCCUCGUGAUCUCCCACUUUUAUAUGAAGUAUUCACGUGAAUGGAAUGUUAUACACAGCUGGUCAGUUUCUUGGUCAGUGGUUUCUCGUUGCCCCUCUCGCAAGAUGUCCAUCCAUGCUUAUCAAUAAGUUUGCAUUCCAUUGCUAGGUUUACCAAAACAUGUGUCUGGUUCUCCAGGAAAAUGCAGUUAAUAUGAAGGCUUUAGCUGACAGGCAAAAUUCACUGAAAGAGAAACUUGUUUUUAACAAAACCAGGACAAUGUCUUACUUGAGUGACGCAUUUCAGUUUUAUUUAAAUUUCAUAUGGAAGUAUAAUCACAGAAUCACAGAAUGGUUGGGGUUGGAAAGGACCUCUGGGGAUCAUCUAGUCCAAUCCACCUGCUAAAGCAGGUAAACUUAGAACUGGUUACACAGGAUUGCUACCAGGCAGGUUUUGAAUAUCUCCAGAGAAGCAAAUUCCACAACCUCUCUGGGCAGCUUGUUCCAGUGCUCUGUCAUCCUCAAAGUGAAAAAGUUUCUCCUCAUGUUUAGAUGGAACCUGCUGUGUUUCAGUCUGUGUCUGUUGCCCCUCAUUCUAUCACUGGGCACGACUGAGAAGAAUCUGGUCCUAUCCUCUUGACAUACCCCCUUGAGAGAUAGUAUUUAUAUGCAUAAAUAAGAUCUCCUCUAAGCCUUCUUUUCUUGUACUUUUUAAACUGAGGAGCCCAGAACUGGACACAGUACUUCAGAUGUGGCCUUACCAGGACAGAAUACAGGGGGAGAAUAAACUCCCUCGACCUGCUGGUCACACUUCUUUUAAUGUACCCCAGGAUACUGUUGGCCUUUUCGGCCACAAGGGCACAUUAUUGACUCAUGGUCAACCUGUUGUCAACUAGAACUUCCAAGUCCUUCUUUGCAAUGCUGCUUUCCAUCAGGUGCACCCCUAACCCGUACUGGUACAUGGGGUUAUUCCUCCCUAGGUGCAGGACCCUACACUUGCCUUCAUAGAAUUUCAUUAAGUUCUUUUCAGCCCAGUCCUCCAGUUUGUCCAGAUCUCGCUGAAUGGCAGCACAGCCUUCUGCUAUAUCAACUACUCCUCCCAUUUUGGUAUCAUCAGCAAACUUGCUGAGGGUACACUCUGUAUCUUCAUCCAUGUCGUUGAUGAACAGGUCGAAUAGAACUGGACCUAAUACUGACUCCUGGGGAACACCACUAGCUUUGGGCCUCAAACUAGACUUGGCAUUGUUGAUCACAGCACUCUGAGCUCUGCUAUUCAGACAGUUCUCAAUCCAUCUCACUGUCCAUAAUACAGCGUCUAUUGUAGAUUUCUGCUUUUGAACUAUAUCUGCCCUCCGGAGCAUUAAAAUCUGUAAGGAAAGAAAUCCAGCCUAGUUUUGCAUAACACCAUAGAUCCUUUGUACAGUAAAUUGCCAUGUAUCCUUUCUGUACACAAUAUGCUCAAACUCAAGGAAUUUGUAUGCUAAACUUGAAUAAUGGGCCAAAAUAGGAUAAUUCUUCUUUAUUGACAGAAAUACAUUAGCCACUAUCACACAUAACCACACUUCAGUACAAAAAUGUGUUUUUUUUAAGGAAGUGUAAUUGCAAGACAGCUAAGCAGAAAGGGAAAAAAGUUCCAAAAACAUAAUAUCAAAUUGAUGUACUUGACAUGUGGUCAUAAAAUUAGAUUCUGCUCAGAACAAUUUGGAAUAAUUGAUUUGGUUUAUGACUUUGACCAAAAUAUGCAAAAAUGCAACAUUCUUUCAAAGUUGCACUAUAAUUGUUCAUUCUAUUAAGAGAAGUAGAAAGGGGGGAAAUUACUAUUAGACAGGGUUUCAUUAUGAAAAUGGGCCUAUAAGAUGGAGUUUCGUUAUGAAAAUGGAUUAUCAGAGAAUCUGAAUUGGAUAUCUGAAAUAUCACAUCCUCUACAAUGCCCGUGGACUCUGCAUGUUACAUACCAAAUAUACAGACUACCAGUCAUUCUCAUGGACCUAAUUGUGUAGAGAGUUUUUUCGAAGCCACUGAUUUUAUAAGCACCAUCCAUUGUGGGUACAAAUGACAUCACUGAAAUGCUUUAUUUCCUUCCCUCUGUCUCCAAGGCUGCUGAGACUAGAUGAUAUGCUUGAUUUGACAAUUCUUAGGCUCUGUGCCUGGAGGCAGAUUAUAAUCCGAAAAAGAUCCUAACUCCAUGGUUCAAUUAUCUUCUAAGCAGCAGACGGAGAAGUUAGUUGACUGGCAAACCCAGGCAGGCCUGACCCUAGUGUGGGAGGAUCUGAUGCUCUUUUCUAGGUGAGCAUGCUAUCCUCCUUGCGUAUGCUGCUGUGGUACAUACGUCACUUCACAUCCACCCAGGGGGCACAGGUUGGGAUGGGGAGCAGUCCAGGAAAUGGCUAUGCGCUUCUCUCCACACAUUAAAAGACGUAGAAGACCGUAGGCACAGAACUGGCCUAAAGAGGGACAAAAUUAACCUCUUCACAGCUAGGAUUGAUGAUAGCAAGCACCAAGGUAUGAAGACAUUGUUGGACCCAGGAAACACUUUGUUUCUUGUGGUAAAUAAGCAGCACAAAAUCAGAAACAACAAAUAUCUUAGUUCAGUCAACUAUUUUAAAAAUGUGAUUUUUGGGCUGGGAGCAUCUCAUUAGCUGCAGCCUAAAGCUUUCCCAGUAAAUCUUAGGAACAAUUGAAUGAUUUCAUACUAUAAAAAGCUUGUUAUAAUAAAUGGACAUUUUAAGUGCCAACAAAAUUUAAAGAACAGUACCUUACAGCAAAAUCUUGUAAGGACAUGCAUGCAUUUCCAAUUACAUGCUAUCUUGACCACUUCCGCAUGUAUUCAGUUACUUAGCACCAUUGUGAGUGCUCACAUUCUCAGCAGGAGAGUUCAUAACUCGCAGAAAAAAAAACAUUUCCCUGAUUAAAAAAAAUAAGAGUUAGAAAAGUACAGAGAAAUGUUUCCAGGACACAAUUGUUUUAAGAGUGGGAUUUUUUCUGCAGGACAAGACACAGCUUUUCAAAGUUCUCUCCUUUUUUUCAAAUGAUAACUUGCACAGAAAGAAUGUUUUCUGUGGAAUCUGGAAAGUUUGCUCUAUUAACAGGGUUUAUAAUUUAUUCUGUAUAAACAUUUGGGUGGAAGUAGAUUUUGUGAAUUAUUGUAUUGUACCAGGAGAGUACCUUGUUUUGUUUCAUUUAAUUGAAAAUCAAUAAAUAGCUAUUUUGAUGUAUCAUCUUUCACCAGGUGCUUGCCAGGUGUUCAUUAAAUGACGCCUUUAUUUAUUGUUUUUCCUUGUCAGGUUAAAAAAUUGGUUCCUCUGAAGAAACCUUAAAUCAGGGACUAUAAGCACAUAUGGCAUAAGGCAAUUAUUCCUGUGCCUGUAGAAAAUACAGUCAGUCAGUCUGCAUACAGAAUUGGAGAAUGCUGGAAAAGGACAGCAGAAAGAAAGAUCUGGAUACACACUCACACAGACUACUUACCCUUUACUCAGCCUAACGGCUAUCAACUUUGUUGGAUUGUCUAAUUAAUAUUGGAAAGGAUUAAAGCGUGGGUCAGUGAGAAAGAGGUAAGAUCUUCAAGCAGGUCACAACAUUACCUCUUUCCAAGUUUCAGUAUGUUUCAAUGUGAAGCAUCUUUCCCUUAUCAGGUGCAGGUUCUGGAAGAUCCUUUGCAAGGAAGGAAAGGCCUCAGAUAAGAUGCUAUGGCUUAUCACUGCUUUGAGUUUAGCUGUGUUUUCAAACAGGCUACCACAAGGGUUUGUAUUAUUUCCCUAGCCUGCAUCUCUUGUCUCCUAAAUCCAAAAUACAGACAUUUAAAAUGCUGGGUCAGUGCCUCUCUGGAACAUGCAGAGAAACAGACAUGGGACCGAUCCCAGCACCUGGUCUCAGCUCUAUGAGAUCCAAAAGAAACCAUCUGAGGAAGAACAAAAUGGUGCAGCAUCUCUGUUCCUGGCUUUUUCUUGACAGCAGUCUGCUACCCCAGGGCAGGCAAACCAUAAGGCAUUGUCCCUUUCUGCUGGAUGCUUUAGAAGCCCCCAUACUUAGGUUGGGGACCUGCUCUCAGCUGGCUAACUAUCCCCAGGAGCUGAAUAAGCAUCUUGCUGUCCUCAGUGGACUCCUCAGAGGCAGCAGGAUGGCUGAAAGUCUUUGUAGUUGUUUUUCUCAUUGAAAGCCGUAAGGAUUUCAAAUCCUGCCACCCACACAUUUUAAAGAUUUUUAUCCUUCAUGAGUAGAAUUAGCAAACAGAAAGGAACUUUUCUUCAGCUUGUACCAUAAAUUUGGCCUUAUGCUUGCUCUCUGUGAGGGAUGUGAAAUACUUCGGUGUUCAGAGGCCUGGACUAAGUUACUGUAUGUCAAAUAAAAGCACAGUCAUGGAGUAGAGGCUUUUCUGCACGUUGUUCUUAAGGCUCUGAUCCAGAAAUACAGGUACUUAAUUUUACAUGUGUACACAUCAUUUCCAUUGACAGCCACAAAAAAAAUUGUGUCUCUGAAUGUGCUGACAGGCUUUUCUGUCUUACAAUAUAAAUCCAUGAUUGAACAGCUGUGGCAGACUAUUUUACCAGAUGAAGAAAGAUUCUUGCAGCAUGUAGUUGUAUAUAGAACCAACUGACAGACUAAAAAGCUUGCAACAAAUAAUUCGCUUUGUAGAAACAUAGAAUCAUGGAAUUAUAGAAUUAUUUAGGUUGGAAAACACCUUUAAGAUCAUUGAGUCCCACCGUUAACCUAAGACUGCCAAGUCCACCACUAAACCAUGUCCCUAAGAACUUAAUCUACGCAUCUUUUAAACACCUCCAGGCAUGGUGGCUCAACCUCUUCACCGGGCAGCCUGUUCCAAUGCCUGACAGCCCUUUCCAUGAGGAAAAUUUUCCUAAUAUCCAAUCUAAACCUCCUCUGGCACAGCUUGAAGCCAUUUCCUCUCAUCCUAUCACUUGUUACUUGGGAAAAGAGAACCACGCCCACCUCAUUACAACCUCCUCUCAGGUAGUUGUAGAGAGUUAUAAGGUCUCCCCUCAGCCUCCUUUCCUUCAGGCUAAACAGCCCCAGUUCCUUCAGCUGCUACUCAUAAGGCUUGUGCCCUUUUCUGAAUUCACUCCAGCCCUUCUGUGUCUUCCAGCAAGGGUCCUAAAACUGAAGACAGUAUUUGAGACACUGGGCCCUAUACAGUCUCGUUUUAACACCUAUCCACACUAAGCAGAUAAAUUAUUUUAAUGGCACUCUCAGUUUUGUGUAAAAGGCAGAAAAAAGAGCUGUAUUCUACAACCCAUGCUCAUCUUUCACCCUAAUUAAACCAUUAGAACAGUAAAUGUUCAUUCUGAGCUUUUUUUAAACAGAAUUGUUGAAAGACAACUUGCACUGUGCUUCCUCUGGCAUUUACAAAAUCGUAAGUGCAAUAUUUUUGUGGUUAUAUGAGGGCCAUUUCCUAUUGCACAGCUUCUACUUGUUUGCUCUGAUUGAAAAAUGCAUCCAACCCUGUACACAAAGUCUCUAUCUUAGCAAACCUUUCACUGACUUAAACUGGAGCUGAACAUGUUCAAGAAUUACAAGAGGAUUUUGGAAGCUUGUUUUUAAUUUUGCCGUUCUUGGUUGUGUUAAAUAGUGCCAAGAAACCAAUAGACUUGGGUUAGGUGGGUGGAAAUGUAGCCCUCAGCAAAUGGUUAGUGUUUGGAUUUUUUCAAAUAAAAUGGAUGCAUUUUUGGUGUAUGAUGUCGAUUUGAUAUACGUCUGCAUACAGUUAUUCAGGAAUAAGUGGAUAACAAUAUGUUUUCUGUGAAAACUGAGGGUAUAAGAAACGAUUACAAAAAGAACUGAAGUGGACUGUUUAACAGCUAAUUAGAGUAAUGAAAUGGGCACUUUUAGUUUGCAUAACUGGAGGCAUUUUGCCAACGAACAGGAAUGUGUAUGGAAUGUUUCAUUAGCUUCUGGGAAUUCCAAUACUGGGAAGUUACUGGGAAAUAUUUCAAGAGAGAGAACUAAAACCAGGGAUCAAUUUAAAAGGGUAUCUAGACACAUAUAUGAAAAAUUCACAUGAACAUGUUGGCUAAACAUUAGCUAAAAUAGAAAUAUAUUCAUAAUCUAUCAGGUAGGAAUAAAGGAGCUCAAUUAGCUAAUUUUGAAUCUAAUGGUAAUGGUAAAAUAAAAAUUUCCAUUUAAACUUAUAUAUGUUCUCCCUCCUUCCAAUUUCACUUGCAUCCUCUUACUUUCUAAGUAGUUCUUUUACCCUUAGCAAAAUCAGCAGUAUCCUUUAAUUGCAGAACCGCAAAUGGGCCACUUGUCUGAGCUAGAUGAAUCAGAGUAAUGAUUUCUUUAAUUAAUUAAUCUUUGAAGUAGAGCAAUUUUUUAAAGGUAAAUAAUCUAGAUUAGAUUUAAAAUUUUUCUACAGAUGUAGAAUUUACAAAUCAUAGAACACUCUCUAAUAGUUAGUUAUUACCAUUGUGAAAAGUAACAAAACACAAAAACAAUUAAACUAAAUAUUUCCUGGAUCAACUAAUGGAAUUAAUUAAACCUAGGAUCACUAAGUUCUUCAGUUUUCAUUUAUAUUUCCCACAUGGAUAUAUAUUGACUGUAAGUCAAUGUUGAAGUCCUGUCUUUAUUAAAGUAUGCAGAGAGAGCAUCCUGAGACUUGCAUUAUAAGAAAUAUUUUUGCAAUGUUUUAAUUGUUCCUGCAGCUCUACAUGUCACUCUUCCUGGGCCAUGUCUGCAGUUCUUCUGCAGCAAGUCUAUCAUUGACAGCACAAAAAUAACAAACCCCCUUGUUAUAGUUGAAUUAAUUUUUGUGGGCUGUAUGUAGGAUGCUGUAUCUAGGAUGCUGUAUCUGGGAUGCUGAAUCUAAGAUGCUGUAUCCAGGGUUUUCGCCAAGUUUGGGAAAACAUUAAGGUAGCAACCAACCUUGUAACUAUAGAAUCUUUGUAUAAACAGACCUUGUAACCAUAGAAUUCCUGUAUUUAGUAACCAAACCCUAUUCUUAAAAAUGACAUAGAUUUAUGAUAUAUUCUUUUAAAACAGGUAAUUUAGAAAUAACUGACAAACAUGCAAAUGUUGCUUAGCAUCACUUAGAUAGACAGUUUGUGUUAGAAUAGGUGUGGAAUAUGUUAGUGGUUGUCAAGAAUUGUAAUGAAUAUGUAUGUGACCAAAUUGUAUAAAUAUGGUGUAUUCUGAGUCAGUUGUUAGAAACCAGCUUUGAGGUGUGAAGCCCUGGUUUCCCAGCGCUGAAAUAAAAGCACCGCAUGUAACUAC